rnacentral:lncRNA from 1 species
UUUGCACACUCAUCAGACCACUUCUGAAGCCUUAAGACUCUCCCAAAGCCUUAACAUACAAUCUCUGAAGAUCUUGCCAUGUCUUUGCACAAGCACCAACUCAACUCAUCACUUUUGCUUCUCCACUUCUUCUCUUCAAGUUAACACUCCCCCUCAAGCUUGACUCUAGCUGAUCCUAAGUCAAGCUUGGAACCUUGAAGAACUUCCUCAUUAAAAACCUCACCAAGGAAAACCCUUUGGGACAAAACCUUGAUGAGGGAAAAAGAGUAAAGUCUCCAAGACCUAGGGAUUGGCCAGUGAGUCUUUGUGCCUUACCAACAAUGUAAGGGACACAAAGACUCUGGAUCAUGGCCUCUACAAUCAUCCCACGCCUUGUACUCUCCUUACUGCCUAAUCUUGGUCUCUCCCCCUUUCACCUAACCUCUUGUUAGGUUGAAGUGCUCGGACACACCAGAUCAGCCUCUUCUUGGAGAUACAACUUCUCUUACUGAGUCUUGGCUGCUUCUUCUUCUUAUAGAGUCGCCACCUUGUUGCUUGAGCUACAUGAGGAUGCUUCAGCCACUCUCCAGUCACCUCAACACUUGAAGCCGCCUUGGAUAUUGCUUCUUCAUCCUUCAUCAUACUUCUCAACAGGUUGCUUCCUCUUCUAGAAUAACCACCAAGCUCUCUUGGAUCAUGUAAGCUUCAACACUCCCCCUCAAGCUUGAGACUCUCACAGGAACAAGCUUGAAUGGAUUGCUUCAUGAUCCUCACACACACACCAUGGCCGCUUCUCUUCUGAUCUUGCCAUCUUCAUGGAAUGCUUGUGGAAGCUUCAGCUAUCUCUCCAAUCACUUCACACUAGAAGCCGCCUUGAUAGAGUUGCCUUCAUCUUCUCACAGCCAAGAGUACUCUGUCUUAGUUUGAGUACUCUCUUGAAUAGACUCGCCACAGCCUAAGCCCGGAUGGCUCCUUCUUCAGAUGGUUGCAAUGGACUUCUUGGAUCGCUUGGAAGCUCACUAAACUCCCCUCCUCAAGCUUGGAUUGAGUAUAGGUCCAAGCUUGCAAGUGAGCUUCAGUGAGACUUCACACCAGUGGCGCAUCACCACUUCUUUCUCAACUCUCCAUUGCUCCACACAAUGGGCAAAGUCUUCCUCUUCCAACUCGGAUGGAUGGUGAACCAAGAACACCUCUUGUGAACCUGAAACAUCACUCAAACUCCAGCAAAGAUAAGACACAAGUGCAUUGGGUCAACCCUUGAUGCAUCAUCAAGUUUGAACACCAAUGUCUUUAAG